rnacentral:misc_RNA from 1 species
GGCAACCCAAACACCAGCAGAAUCUUAGCUGGAUGCACCUCUCCCCCUUUCUGUGUCUCUCUCUUUCCUUCCCUUUUCUUCCUCUCUUUUCCCUCUUCUCAAUCUUUUCAACUCUUUCCCAUUUAACAUUUUCCUCCUUCCUUUUCUCUCACUUUCCCUGGAAAAUACGCACUCAUUCUCUGCACUGAAAUCACCAGUUCACUUACACCCCACAAUGCCAACCUCUUCUUCCUUCUUCUUCAUCACAUUCUUCGUCUUAUCCUGUGCCCCUCGCCACUUAUCCUCCACCCCCAACCGUAGGAUCCUCCACCAACCUUUCUUUCCACUUGACACACUUCCUCCUUCUCAACCUCCUUCUACUUCCCCUCCUACUCCAUCAACGCCUCCAAAAAUCCCUUUUUCCACUACUACACCUAAUCAGUCCCCUUUUUUUCCUUCCUACCCUUCUCCUCCACCUCCUCCUGCUCCUGCCACAUUUGCUUCUUUCCCUGCUAAUAUCUCCUCUCUCAUUCUACCUCAGUCUCCUCAACCCAAACCCAAUUCCCAUAAAAUCCUCGCUGUUGCAAUUUCGGCUGUCGUCUCUGCUAUUUUUAUCUUGGGUAUUUUCGUCUUUUACUAUGGCCGGCGCCGGCGACUCCGUGGAUUCUCUGAUGACAAGACUUAUAGAUCGGAUAACAGUAACAGACUGAACCCAGCUGAUUCGGAUACUACUAACUCUACUCGUCACAAGCUAAGAGCCACUUCGACUAGCUCUGAGUUUCUUUAUUUGGGUACUUUGGUCAGUUCGCAUACCAUAGAUGAAGGUUCUAAUGCUCAAGACAAUGCUAAUGUUGGGUCGGAUCCUCGGAAAUUGGAUUCGCCGGAGUUGCUCCCACUGCCACCGCUUAACAGGCAGAGUUCCAGGCUGAAUUUCGGGAAUGGAGAAGUGGGGUCUACUGCGGGUGAGGAAGAAGAGUUUUACUCGCCGCGAGGGUCUCUGGGAGGUCGAGAGAGCUCGAGCGGGAUGGGAUCGGGGUCCAGAAGAGUGUUUGCGGCUGUCGGUGGUCAGGAUUUUGAUGCAGGAAGCACUGGCUCAAGCACGUAUUCGUCUUCUACUUCGGGCUCUCCUGCUCGGUCUCAAUCACUUAGUAGUUCUCCGCUAGUAAGGUUGAGUCCACGGCCAAAAUCGCCGGAUUCUGCUGUUCUUCAGCCUGCUCCAGCACCUCCUGCCCCGCCUCCACCACCACUAAUGCCUCUUCAUAACGACCGGAAGUUUCCAUCACCGUUUCCGUCUGCUGCCUCGUCUCGAGAUGAAUCGCCGUGUGUAUCGUUUAAUUUUGACCAAAACGCACAGUCUCCAUCAGCGUCCUCUGCUUCUUCAUCGCCCAACAGGAGUUUGGAGAAAAGCGCAGGUGCAUCACCGCGAAUAUUGAAUGAUUUGGAUCGAAAUGUGCGGUCUCCAUUGCUGUCGCCAGCAAAUGUAUUGAAUGUUUUGGAUCAAAAUAGGCAGUCCCCUUCACUAUCAUCUGUUUCUACAUCACCUGACAGAAGUUUGGAGAAAACUCCGAAUGCUUCUCCUAGAAUAUCGAAUGAUUUGGAUCGAGAUGUGAGGUCCCCACAUCUGUCUUUUACUUCUACUUCGCCAGAUAAAAUUUUUGAGAGGGCCUCGUCUCCGAGAUUAUCGAAUGGUUUGGAUCGAAAUGCGCACUCGCCUUCAUUUUCUUCAACUUCGACUUCACCAGGCAGAGAUUUGGACAAGAACCCACUCGCAUAUCCCAGAAUUUCAAAUGUUUCGGAUCAAAGUAAGGGGUCUUCUUCACUGUCUUCAGCUUCUUCGUCGCCAGGUAGAGGUUUGGAAAAGAGCCCAGGUGCAUCACCAAGAAUGACUUCGAGUGUUUUUAGUCUAAAUGCGAGAACUAGCAGUGUUUUAGGCCAGCCUAUUUCACUUCCACUACCGCAUCCUCCACCUCCACCUCCACCACCGCCACCACCACAA